rnacentral:lncRNA from 1 species
CCCGCUCUGGCUUCGUCCGCAUGCGGCAGGGCCCCUCCACGGAGGUCCCAGGGCGCGCUCCCCGGCCUCGAGGCCCGGCCGCCAGCCGCGCGGACCCCAGCCUACGCCCCGAGGGAGGCCAGGACCCCUAGCCGGCGGGACUGCGCGCCGCCCCUCUCCCCGCAGGUCCCGGCGAACACCUAGCUUCCCCUCCCCCCACCCUUCCCGCCUCCCGGCCAGUGUCCCCGCCUUCCCCGCGGGCGACGGGCGGCGGCGGCGGGAGGAGCGGGCCGAGCCGAGGAAGCCCCGGCCUCGCGCGCUGGGAUGUAGCGAACCAGCAGGGGCCGAAGAACCGUGCAGUGCCAGAGCCAGAGCUGGAUCCGGGGCCCCAGCCGGAGCCGAAACCUGAGCCAGAGUCCGCGGCGGGCGAGCCCGGAGCCCACGAGCCGCAGACGCAGCGCUGCCCAGGUGGGGGAGAAGUGGGCAGGAGAGAGGGCCGCCCGCUGCUCCCCGCUGCGUCCAGGGAUGGAGGGCCCCACCACCCAUGGAAUUGCUGGCCCCUCUGCGUGGCCCGGGACUUCAGCCGUGGCUUCGCGUCAAGAGGGUAUUUUUCCUAAACGAAACCGCUUCGUUCGUUCGUUCGUUCGUUCGUUCGGGCAGCAAUGCCGCAGAAAAGCAGCAGACGUCGGUCCGCGCCCUGGCUCUCUUCGCCCCGGACCCCGACGUCCCGCCGCAGCGCUCGGAGGUGCCCCCAGCCCAAGGCAGCCUGCUCUCGCCGGCACAGGUCGGGCUUUUUCUUCCCAGGAGAGAAACCCCAAUUCCCUUCGUAACGUCCAAUAAAGACAUUCCCGCGGCUUCUCCCAGGU